rnacentral:rRNA from 1 species
GAACGAGAAAGUGGAGCAAUCCAUGAGUAAAGUGGCGACCGGGUGAGUAACACGUGACCAACCUACCCUCGAGUGGGGAAUAACCUCGGGAAACCGGGGCUAAUACCGCAUAAUGUCUUCGGACCAAAGGAGCAAUUCGCUUGAGGAGGGGGUCGCGGCCGAUUAGCUAGUUGGCGGGGUAACGGCCCACCAAGGCCAUGAUCGGUAGCCGGCCUGAGAGGGCGCACGGCCACACUGGAACUGAAACACGGUCCAGACUCCUACGGGAGGCAGCAGUGGGGAAUUUUGCGCAAUGGGGGAAACCCUGACGCAGCAACGCCGCGUGGAGGAUGAAGUCCCUUGGGAUGUAAACUCCUUUCGAUCGGGACGAUUAUGACGGUACCGGAAGAAGAAGCACCGGCUAACUCUGUG